UACGUAGGGGGCAAGCGUUGUCCGGAUUUAUUGGGCGUAAAGCGCACGUAGGCGGGUCGUUAAGUCAGGGGUGAAAUCCCGGAGCUCAACUCCGGAACUGCCUUUGAUACUGGCGACCUUGAGGCUGGAAGAGGUUAGUGGAAUUCCCAGUGUAGAGGUGAAAUUCGUAGAUAUUGGGAAGAACACCAGUGGCGAAGGCGGCUAACUGGUCCAGAUCUGACGCUGAGGUGCGAAAGCGUGGGGAGCAAACAGG
rnacentral:rRNA from 1 species